GAUAAUUACACAAUUGAGUAUGACGAUGAAAUGAGCAUGUCGUCUGCUUUACCUAGCGAGGUUGAUCCAUUAUACUUUGUCUACACAAACAUCCCAGACACCAGUCACAUCCUAAAACUCGACGCAAACUGCAAACACUGCAAUGCCAAAAAGUUUGUGUCUGAGACUGAUAGGUUCUGCUGUCACAAUGGA
rnacentral:rRNA from 1 species